UGCCCCAUGGCUGAGUUGGUUACAGCGUCCGACUGUUAUAGAGCUUUUCAAGGCUUACUUCAAUCGGAAGGUCGUGAGUUCGAGCCUCACUGGGGCAG
rfam:Coprinopsis cinerea okayama7#130 chromosome 7 cont3.7, whole genome shotgun sequence.